rnacentral:rRNA from 1 species
UACGUAGGGUGCGAGCGUUGUCCGGAAUUACUGGGCGUAAAGAGCUCGUAGGUGGUUUGUCGCGUUGUCCGUGAAAACUCACAGCUCAACUGUGGGCGUGCGGGCGAUACGGGCAGACUGGAGUACUGCAGGGGAGACUGGAAUUCCUGGUGUAGCGGUGGAAUGCGCAGAUAUCAGGAGGAACACCGGUGGCGAAGGCGGGUCUCUGGACCGUAACUGACGCUGAGACACGAAAGCGUGGGUAGCAAACAGG